rnacentral:rRNA from 1 species
GCGUGGGUGAAGAAGGCCUUCGGGUUGUAAAGCCCUUUCGACGGGGACGAUGAUGACGGUACCCGUAGAAGAAGCCCCGGCUAACUUCGUGCCAGCAGCCGCGGUAAUACGAAGGGGGCUAGCGUUGUUCGGAAUUACUGGGCGUAAAGGGCGCGUAGGCGGACGUGUCAGUCAGGGGUGAAAUCCCGGGGCUCAACCUCGGAAUUGCCUUUGAUACUGCAUGUCUUGAGGACGGGAGAGGGUCGUGGAAUUCCCAGUGUAGAGGUGAAAUUCGU